rnacentral:rRNA from 1 species
GAUGAACGCUGGCGGCGUGCCUAAUACAUGCAAGUCGAGCGAACGGACGAGAAGCUUGCUUCUCUGAUGUUAGCGGCGGACGGGUGAGUAACACGUGGAUAACCUACCUAUAAGACUGGGAUAACUUCGGGAAACCGUAGCUAAUACCGGAUAAUAUUUUGAACCGCAUGGUUCAAAAGUGAAAGACGGUCUUGCUGUCACUUAUAGAUGGAUCCGCGCUGCAUUAGAUAGUUGGUAAGGUAACGGCUUACCAAGGCAACGAUGCAUAGCCGACCUGAGAGGGUGGUCGCCCACACUGGAACGGAGACACGGUCCAGAGUCCUACGGGAGGAAGCAGUAGGGAAUCUUCCGCAAUGGGCGAAAGCCUGACGGAGCAACGCCGCGUGAGUGAUGAAGGUCUUCGGAUCGUAAAACUCUGUUAUUAGGGAAGAACAUAUGUGUAAGUAACUGUGCACAUCUUGACGGUACCUAAUCAGAAAGCCACGGCUAACUACGUG